UUACUUUGGCAGAUUAGUGUGUUUGAUUUAGAGUCAUUUUAAGUAUUUAUUACAAGUAAUAU
rnacentral:tRNA from 2 species